GUGGAAUGAUUCUUGCACAAGACUUUGGCGAUGGGGCAGCAAGAAACCAAAGUGGGUGGAAAAUGAAUGAUUGAACUUGAACAGAGAUAUAUAUGGGGCUGAGUUUAAAGACAUUGAUAAUUCAGGUUGCAGAUGCUUUGCUGCAAUGGAGCUGAUGAUGGUGCAGUUUUCCAGCAAGACGCAGAAACCAGUUCGACAAGAAGUCAAAGUUGAUAUAUCUGAUUAUCGCUUGGUUGUGAACUUGGAUGUAUUAUUGCCUUUGGAUAUCAUGAACAAUCGACUUUCUUGUCGACUCCCUCUGAGAAGUGGUCUGAAACAUGUAAGAUAACUCAACCAAGGACAAAGAGAGUUGAAGGCAGGUGGCAAAAGAAUGAAUGACCUAGUCUGAAAAUAUGAAUAUGAUCUCUUGAAUAUG